rnacentral:rRNA from 1 species
CCCGCACAAGCGGUGGAGCGUGUGGUUUAAUUCGAAGCAACGCGAAGAACCUUACCAGGUCUUGACAUCCCGAUGCUAUUUCUAGAGAUAGAAAGUUACUUCGGUACAUCGGUGACAGGUGGUGCAUGGUUGUCGUCAGCUCGUGUCGUGAGAUGUUGGGUUAAGUCCCGCAACGAGCGCAACCCCUAUUGUUAGUUGCCAUCAUUCAGUUGGGCACUCUAGCGAGACUGCCGGUAAUAAACCGGAGGAAGGUGGGGAUGACGUCAAAUCAUCAUGCCCCUUAUGACCUGGGCUACACACGUGCUACAAUGGUUGGUACAACGAGUUGCGAGUCGGUGACGGCGAGCUAAUCUCUUAAAGCCAAUCUCAGUUCGGAUUGUAGGCUGCAACUCGCCUACAUGAAGUCGGAAUCGCUAGUAAUCGCGGAUCAGCACGCCGCGGUGAAUACGUUCCCGGGCCUU